rnacentral:rRNA from 1 species
ACUCCUACGGGAGGCAGCAGUGGGGAAUCUUGGACAAUGGGCGCAAGCCUGAUCCAGCCAUGCCGCGUGAGUGAUGAAGGCCCUAGGGUCGUAAAGCUCUUUCGCCAGGGAUGAUAAUGACAGUACCUAGGUAAAGAAACCCCGGCUAACUCCGUGCCAGCAGCCGCGGUAAUACGGAGGGGUUAGCGUUGUUCGGAAUUACUGGGCGUAAAGCGCGCGUAGGCGGAUUAGUCAGUUAGAGGUGAAAUCCCAGGGCUCAACCCUGGAACUGCCUUUAAUACUGCUAGUCUUGAGUUCGAGAGAGGUGAGUGGAAUUCCGAGUGUAGAGGUGAAAUUCGUAGAUAUUCGGAGGAACACCAGUGGCGAAGGCGGCUCACUGGCUCGAUACUGACGCUGAGGUGCGAAAGUGUGGGGAGCAAACAGGAUUAGAUACCCUGGUAGCGACUGA